CACCUUAUAAAAGCACUCAGUAGGCCUUUUGCUAGUGACCCAUUGAGUUGUCAAGAAGGGACAGAGUGCCCGCUUUUGGGGGAAGUGCAGCAUGUGUUGUUGUUUUGCUUCAGUCAGUGGUGAUUCCUAA
rnacentral:snoRNA from 1 species